rnacentral:hammerhead_ribozyme from 1 species
AUCUAACCGAUGAGUCUCAAAUAGGACGAAACGUGUAUCCAGGAU